rnacentral:rRNA from 1 species
AGCGAACGCUGGCGGCAGGCUUAACACAUGCAAGUCGAACGAAGAUCUAGCUUGCUAGAUCUUAGUGGCGAACGGGUGAGUAAUACAUAAAUAAUCUGCCCAUAUGACUGGGAUAACUAUUGGAAACGAUAGCUAAUACCGGAUAGGUUGAUCGGAGGCAUCUCUGAUGAAUUAAAGUAGGAUUUCUACACAAAUGGAUGAGUUUAUGGCGCAUUAGUUAGUUGGUGGGGUAACGGCCUACCAAGACGAUGAUGCGUAGCCGACCUGAGAGGGUGACCGGCCACACUGGGACUGAGACACGGCCCAGACUCCUACGGGAGGCAGCAGUAGGGAAUUUUCGGCAAUGGGCGCAAGCCUGACCGAGCAACGCCGCGUGAGUGAUUAAGGCCUUCGGGUUGUAAAGCUCUGUUGUAAGGGAAGAACAUUCAGGAUAGGAAAUGAUCUUGAACUGACGGUACCUUACCAGAAAGCCACGGCUAACUACGUGCCAGCCGCCGCGGUAACAC